UACGUAGGGUGCAAGCGUUGUCCGGAAUUAUUGGGCGUAAAGAGCUCGUAGGCGGUCUGUCGCGUCGGAUGUGAAAACUCGGGGCUCAACCCCGGGCCUGCAUUCGAUACGGGCAGACUAGAGUACGGCAGGGGAGACUGGAAUUCCUGGUGUAGCGGUGAAAUGCGCAGAUAUCAGGAAGAACACCCGUGGCUAAGGCGGUUCUCUAGUACGGUACUGACGCUGAGACGCGAAAGCGUGGGGAGCGAACAGG
rnacentral:rRNA from 1 species